rnacentral:rRNA from 1 species
AUUGAACGCUGGCGGCAUGCCUUACACAUGCAAGUCGAACGGUAACAGGUCUUCGGAUGCUGCCGAGUGGCGAACGGGUGAGUAAUACAUCGGAACGUGCCCGAUCGUGGGGGAUAACGAAGCGAAAGCUUUGCUAAUACCGCAUAAGAUCUACGGAUGAAAGCAGGGGACCGCAAGGCCUUGCGCGAACGGAGCGGCCGAUGGCAGAUUAGGUAGUUGGUGGGAUAAAAGCUUACCAAGCCGACGAUCUGUAGCUGGUCUGAGAGGACGACCAGCCACACUGGGACUGAGACACGGCCCAGACUCCUACGGGAGGCAGCAGUGGGGAAUUUUGGACAAUGGGCGAAAGCCUGAUCCAGCCAUGCCGCGUGCAGGAUGAAGGCCUUCGGGUUGUAAACUGCUGUUGUACGGAACGAAAAGACUCUUUCUAAUAAAGAGGGUCCAUGACGGUACCGUAAGAAUAAGCACCGGCUAACUACGUGCCAGCAGCCGCGGUAACAC